rnacentral:rRNA from 1 species
UAACCUGCCCAAGAGAUCGGGAUAACACCUGGAAACAGAUGCUAAUACCGGAUAACAACAGAUGAUGCCUAUCAACUGUUUAAAAGAUGGUUAUGCUAUCACUCUUGGAUGGACCUGCGGUGCAUUAGCUAGUUGGUAGGGUAACGGCCUACCAAGGCGAUGAUGCAUAGCCGAGUUGAGAGACUGAUCGGCCACAUUGGGACUGAGACACGGCCCAAACUCCUACGGGAGGCAGCAGGC